AUGGGGAAGCACGGUUGGAAGCCCAUGUCGCAGGGUAAGGAGGAGCAUCAGUGGGCAAGUCAUAUAGCCGGGAAGGAGCUUUCAGCAAUUGUGGUUGCCACUGGGCCUGCUCGCCAGUGUCAUGGCAUGCGCAAUGGUGAUUGCAUUAGUGCUGCUCGCCUCGACCAAGUUGAGAAGACCUCCUCCAGCUGGCUUCUCUAUGACCCUGACCAACGCUGCCCAGCCAGGGGGGCGGGGGUGAGGACAACCAAGCGCGGUAGUGCUGCAAAAGAAGUUCAGAAGUGUGAUAUAAUAACGAUGAAAAGAUAUCUCUUACUGAUAUUCGUGCUUGCAUAG
rnacentral:rRNA from 1 species